rnacentral:pre_miRNA from 1 species
UUAACUCAAAUUUGUAUGGAGUUGGAACAGCGCCCCUAGCGGCAAACGUGGGUAAACGUUCCAACUCCAUACAAAUAUGAGUUA